AGACCCGAAACCCGGUGAUCUAGCCAUGGGCAGGUUGAAGGUUGGGUAACACUAACUGGAGGACCGAACCGACUAAUGUUGAAAAAUUAGCGGAUGACCUGUGGCUGGGGGUGAAAGGCCAAUCAAACCGGGAGAUAGCUGGUUCUCCCCGAAAGCUAUUUAGGUAGCGCCUCGUGAAUUCAUCUCCGGGGGUAGAGCACUGUUUCGGCUAGGGGGCCAUCCCGGCUUACCAACCCGAUGCAAACUGCGAAUACCGGAGAAUGUUAUCACGGGAGACACACGGCGGGUGCUAACGUCCGUCGUGAAGAGGGAAACAACCCAGACCGCCAGCUAAGGUCCCAAAGUCAUGGUUAAGUGGGAAACGAUGUGGGAAGGCCCAGACAGCCAGGAUGUUGGCUUAGAAGCAGCCAUCAUUUAAAGAAAGCGUAAUAGCUCACUGGUCGAGUCGGCCUGCGCGGAAGAUGUAACGGGGCUAAACCAUGCACCGAAGCUGCGGCAGCGACACUGUGUGUUGUUGGGUAGGGGAGCGUUCUGUAAGCCUGCGAAGGUGGCCUGUGAGGGUUGCUGGAGGUAUCAGAAGUGCGAAUGCUGACAUAAGUAACGAUA
rnacentral:rRNA from 1 species